GGAGUUUGAGUACCUUGAAACUACUCUACUUCAUGGAAAAUCGGAAGUAACUUUCAAAGAAGUAACUGCUGCAUUGUAUAGCUAUGAACUACGCCGAAAGGAUAAGUUGAAAGGUUCAGGUGAAGCAGCAGUGGAAGCAUUGGUAACAAGAGGUCGUCAGCAAAGUCAGUCUAAGGGGAAGAGAAGAAAGUCCAAAGGUCGAG
rnacentral:lncRNA from 1 species